AUAAUAACAUAGUUUGUGUUUCUGUGAUUGAUAAUCUUUGCAGCGGAAGCUGACAGAAGACCUCGAGGAGAAGCAUAUCACUGAAUCUCCUGGUGAGAAGCAGCACAGUUGUAUUCCUGAUGAACACUAUGUGCCCACAUUGCUUUCAAUAAGGGAGCUUGAAGAUGAACUGGAGAGAAGAACACUGACAUACACUUUGUGGAACAAUUCUAGGAAUGAAAAGGACAAGCGAAGUUGGCACCCUGUUACAUUUCAGUAUAGUAAUGCAAGCCCCAAGGAAAUUGAAAAAA